UACGUGGGGGGCAAGCGUUGUCCGGAAUCAUUGGGUUUAAAGGGUGCGUAGGCGGGAUUGUAAGUCAGUGGUGAAAUUUCCGGGCUUAACCUGGGCGCUGCCAUUGAUACUGCAGUUCUUGAGUAUAGUUGAUGUUGGCGGAAUGUGUCAUGUAGCGGUGGAAUGCAUAGAUAUGACACAGAACACCGAUAGCGAAGGCAGCUGAAAAAACUAUAACUGACGCUGAUGCACGAAAGCGUGAGGAGCAAAC
rnacentral:rRNA from 1 species